UACGGAGGGAGCUAGCGUUGUUCGGAAUUACUGGGCGUAAAGCGCACGUAGGCGGCUUUUCAAGUCAGGGGUGAAAUCCCGGGGCUCAACCUCGGAACUGCCUUUGAAACUGGAAGGCUUGAAUCUUGGAGAGGCGAGUGGAAUUCCGAGUGUAGAGGUGAAAUUCGUAGAUAUUCGGAAGAACACCAGUGGCGAAGGCGACUCGCUGGACAAGUAUUGACGCUGAGGUGCGAAAGCGUGGGGAGCGAACAGG
rnacentral:rRNA from 1 species